UACAGAGGGUGCGAGCGUUAACCGGAUUUACUGGGCGUAAAGCGUGCGUAGGCGGCUUUUUAAGUCGGAUGUGAAAUCCCCGAGCUUAACUUGGGAAUUGCACCUGAUACUGCUUCGCUAGAGUAUGGGAGAGGAUGGUAGAAUUCCAGGUGUAGCGGUGAAAUGCGUAGAGAUCUGGAGGAAUACCGAUGGCGAAGGCAGCCAUCUGGCCUAAUACUGACGCUGAGGUACGAAAGCAUGGGGAGCAAACAGG
rnacentral:misc_RNA from 1 species